rnacentral:rRNA from 1 species
CACGCAGUAAACGAUGAUCACUCGUUGUUUGCGAUAUAUUGCAAGUGACCAAGAGAAAUCGAUAAGUGAUCCACCUGGGGAGUACGGCCGCAAGGCUGAAACUCAAAGGAAUUGACGGGGGCCCGCACAAGCGGAGGAACAUGUGGUUUAAUUCGAUGAUACGCGAGGAACCUUACCUGGGUUUAAAUGGGGAGUGACAGGCUUGGAAACAGGCCCUUCUUCGGACACUCUUCAAGGUGC